CCAGCAGCCGCGGUAAUUCCAGCUCCAAUAGCGUAUAUUAAAGUUGUUGCAGUUAAAACGCUCGUAGUCUGAGAUGGAGUGUGUGGUGGGGGGGGCUGUAAAGUAUUCUUCAUCGCACACUCGUUCUGACAGAUAUGUCGGGGUUACUUUGAGGAAAUUAGGGUGUUCAAGGCAGGCGUGUGCUUGGAUAUCGCAGCAUGGAAUAACGGAGUAGGAUUCGCUUCUUAUUUUGUUGGUUUGGGGGAGUGAGUAAUGAUUAAUAGGGGCAGUUGGGGGCAUUGGUAUUUGGUAGUCAGAGGUGAAAUUCUUGGAUUUACCAAAGACUAACUGGUGCGAAAGCGUUUGCCAAGGAUGUUUUCA
rnacentral:rRNA from 1 species